rnacentral:lncRNA from 1 species
CUAAAUAAAGGCAACAGUAGUAUACCGCUGUUCAAACUCGUAAAUCCAUGGACAAAAAACAAAAUCGGGGUAACAAACUAAAACUGAGGGAAACGCAUAAAUAUAAGAGGAGAACAACGACACAACACUACAAUGUAACUAACACACACAGAAACGGACCAAGCAUCAGACAAAAUCCCACGAGAAUAACAAAUAUAACAUCAAAACCAAAUACAUGAAUUCGGGAUAGACAAGUACCGUGACACGUCUUAUCGCAAUGUCAAUUUACACUAAAAAAUAAGAAAAAAACAAACGACGCAACGUUAAAUUGUAACACACACAGAAACGAACUAUAAUAUAACAAUGGCCAUAUUCCUGACUUGGUACAGGACAUUUUUAAAGGAAAAAAUGGUGGGUUGAACCUGGUUUUGUGGCAUGCCAAACCUCGCACUUUAAUGGCAAUGUUAAAUAUAACAUUGAAAUGACAACAU